CAUCCUGAAAGUUCACGUAGAAGGGAAAGAUUAUUAUUAUUAUUAUUAUUAUACGUUUCUCGUUUUAUUUUUUUUUUUUCCCCAUUUCUCGUUUCAAAUAUUAUAAUACUUACAAAAGUUAUCAAAUGGAAGAACUAAUAAAAGACUAAGAACAUACAUCGUUCCGUGUUACGUCCUCAAGCUAGGAAAAUCCAGGCUAAUUCUUCCGCCGUGUCGCGCGCUUUUACCACUUUUGUACUAAAGUUCUAAACCCACGUGAAGGGUAGUCUACGUUCUCUUGUCCCCCAUCAGGCAAGAAACAAUAUAACGAUCGUGCUCGGAUACAUAAGGUUAGAGAAACCCAACUUGAUUUGUAACAUUUCUAAUAACGACGCUUAGCAUCUUUGUGCUAUCCUUCGAAUAAUGAGAUAACAUAAUCUGAGAUAACAUGAAACAAAUCUGGACUUUUUCCGUUUCUUUCAAGGAAUUAUGUUCCUUCUUUUAAAUAAAAUUUAUCUUUUUUUCUUUUUUCUUUUUUCUUUUUUUUUUUAGAAAACAUAGAUUAUGUUAUUUCAAUAUUCACUGACCUAUACAAGGAUUCGCUAAAAAUUAAAUACUUUCUAGCAGCUUCUUAUAUAUAUAAAAAAGGAAAAAAAAAGAGCAAAGCUACGUACAACGAGAUGAAAGUGAGAAUAAUUUAAAAAUGUAUAAUAUACAUCAAUAGCCUAAUAUGUACAACUAAAAAAAGAGAUAGCCAAUCUUUUGUUAUUACUUGCUUAUUUCAGAUUUCGAAACGAAACUCAGUCGAGGUUGCUGUGAAAAUCAAUUAAACGAAGCGUUGUGUUAUAUAUAU